UACGUAGGGUGCGAGCGUUGUCCGGAAUUAUUGGGCGUAAAGGGCUCGUAGGCGGUUUGUCGCGUCGGGAGUGAAAACUCAGGGCUUAACCCUGAGCCUGCUUCCGAUACGGGCAGACUAGAGGUAUGCAGGGGAGAACGGAAUUCCUGGUGUAGCGGUGAAAUGCGCAGAUAUCAGGAGGAACACCGGUGGCGAAGGCGGUUCUCUGGGCAUUACCUGACGCUGAGGAGCGAAAGUGUGGGGAGCAAACGGG
rnacentral:rRNA from 1 species